GACGAACGCUGGCGGCGUGCUUAACACAUGCAAGUCGAACGGAAAGGCCCUGCUUUUGUGGGGUGCUCGAGUGGCGAACGGGUGAGUAACACGUGAGUAACCUGCCCUUGACUUUGGGAUAACUUCAGGAAACUGGGGCUAAUACCGGAUAGGAGCUCCUGCUGCAUGGUGGGGGUUGGAAAGUUUCGGCGGUUGGGGAUGGACUCGCGGCUUAUCAGCUUGUUGGUGGGGUAGUGGCUUACCAAGGCUUUGACGGGUAGCCGGCCUGGGAGGGUGACCGGCCACAUUGGGACUGAGAUACGGCCCAGACUCCUACGGGCGGCAGCAGUGGGGAAUAUUGCACAAUGGGCGGAAGCCUGAUGCAGCAACGCCGCGUGCGGGAUGACGGCCUUCGGGUUGUAAACCGCUUUCGCCUGUGACGAAGCGUGAGUGACGGUAAUGGGUAAAGAAGCACCGGCUAACUACGUG
rnacentral:rRNA from 1 species